rnacentral:rRNA from 1 species
GACGAACGCUGGCGGCGUGCUUAACACAUGCAAGUCGAACGGAGUGGCGAACGGGUGAGUAACACGUGGGUGAUCUGCCUUGCACUUCGGGAUAAGCUUGGGGAACUGGGUCUAAUACCGGAUAGUGCAAGAUGAGCUCGCGGCCUAUGAGCUUGUUGGUGGGGUAAUGGCCUACCAAGGCGUCGACGGGUAGCCGGCCUGAGAGGGUGUACGGGCACAGUGGGACUGAGAUGGGGCCAGGACUCCUACGGGAGGAAGCAGUGGGGGAUAGUGCACAAUGGGCGGAAGCCUGAUGCAGGGACGCCGGGUGGGGGAGGAAGGCCUUCGGGUUGUAAACUCCUUUCGACAGGGACGCGGUACCGGUAUAAGAAGCACCGGCUAACUACGUGCCAGCAGCCGCGGUAAUAC